GCUUACAGCCAUACCACCCUGAGAACGCUCGAUCUGGUCUGAACUCGGAUGCUAACCUGGGUCGGGCCUGGUUAGUACUUGGAUGGGAGACCGCCUGGGAAUACCAGGUGCUACAAGUU
ensembl:rRNA 5S_rRNA 5S ribosomal RNA